rnacentral:rRNA from 1 species
AUUGAACGCUGGCGGCAUGCCUAACACAUGCAAGUCGAACGGUAACGCGAGAAGCUUGCUUCUUGGCGACGAGUGGCGGACGGGUGAGUAAUACUUAGGAAUCUGCCCAUUAGUGGGGGACAACUCGGGGAAACCCGAGCUAAUACCGCAUACGCCCUACGGGGGAAAGCGGGGGUCUUCGGACCUCGCGCUAAUGGAUGAGCCUAAGUCGGAUUAGCUUGUUGGUGAGGUAAAGGCUCACCAAGGCGACGAUCCGUAGCUGGUCUGAGAGGACGAUCAGCCACACUGGGACUGAGACACGGCCCAGACUCCUACGGGAGGCAGCAGUGGGGAAUAUUGGACAAUGGGGGAAACCCUGAUCCAGCAAUGCCGCGUGUGUGAAGAAGGC